UUGAGAAAUCCUAGGAGGGUUUUAGGCUUAAUUUGGGUCUGCGGCCACAGGGAUCUCAGGGAGGGCUCAGGGGUUAAUUUGGGUCUGGGGUCUCAGGGGCACUCGGGGAGGGCUCUGGGGUUAAUUUGGGUCUGGGGUCUCAGGAUACUCGGGGAGGGCUCUGGGGUUAAUUUGGGUCUGGGGUCUCAGCAUACUCGGGAGGGCUCUGGGGUUAAUUUGGGUCUGGGGUCUCAGCAUACUCGGGAGGGCUCUGGGGUUAAUUUGGGUCUGGGGUCUCAGCAUACUCGGGAGGGCUCUGGGGUUAAUUUGGGUCUGGGGUCUCAGCAUACUCGGGAGGGCUCUGGGGUUAAUUUGGGUCUGGGGUCUCAGCAUACUCGGGAGGGCUCUGGGGUUAAUUUGGGUCUGGGGUCUCAGCAUACUCGGGAGGGCUCUGGGGUUAAUUUGGGUCUGGGGUCUCAGCAUACUCGGGAGGGCUCUGGGGUUAAUUUGGGUCUGGGGUCUCAGCAUACUCGGGAGGGCUCUGGGGUUAAUUUGGGUCUGGGGUCUCAGCAUACUCGGGAGGGCUCUGGGGUUAAUUUGGGUCUGGGGUCUCAGCAUACUCGGGAGGGCUCUGGGGUUAAUUUGGGUCUGGGGUCUCAGCAUACUCGGGAGGGCUCUGGGGUUAAUUUGGGUCUGGGGUCUCAGCAUACUCGGGAGGGCUCUGGGGUUAAUUUGGGUCUGGGGUCUCAGCAUACUCGGGAGGGCUCUGGGGUUAAUUUGGGUCUGGGGUCUCAGCAUACUCGGGAGGGCUCUGGGGUUAAUUUGGGUCUGGGGUCUCAGCAUACUCGGGAGGGCUCUGGGGUUAAUUUGGGUCUGGGGUCUCAGCAUACUCGGGAGGGCUCUGGGGUUAAUUUGGGUCUGGGGUCUCAGCAUACUCGGGAGGGCUCUGGGGUUAAUUUGGGUCUGGGGUCUCAGCAUACUCGGGAGGGCUCUGGGGUUAAUUUGGGUCUGGGGUCUCAGCAUACUCGGGAGGGCUCUGGGGUUAAUUUGGGUCUGGGGUCUCAGCAUACUCGGGAGGGCUCUGGGGUUAAUUUGGGUCUGGGGUCUCAGCAUACUCGGGAGGGCUCUGGGGUUAAUUUGGGUCUGGGGUCUCAGCAUACUCGGGAGGGCUCUGGGGUUAAUUUGGGUCUGGGGUCUCAGCAUACUCGGGAGGGCUCUGGGGUUAAUUUGGGUCUGGGGUCUCAGCAUACUCGGGAGGGCUCUGGGGUUAAUUUGGGUCUGGGGUCUCAGCAUACUCGGGAGGGCUCUGGGGUUAAUUUGGGUCUGGGGUCUCAGCAUACUCGGGAGGGCUCUGGGGUUAAUUUGGGUCUGGGGUCUCAGCAUACUCGGGAGGGCUCUGGGGUUAAUUUGGGUCUGGGGUCUCAGCAUACUCGGGAGGGCUCUGGGGUUAAUUUGGGUCUGGGGUCUCAGCAUACUCGGGAGGGCUCUGGGGUUAAUUUGGGUCUGGGGUCUCAGCAUACUCGGGAGGGCUCUGGGGUUAAUUUGGGUCUGGGGUCUCAGCAUUUCUGGGGUCUCAGAACACCCGGGGAGGUAUGUGUCCCCCAGUUAGUUCUGGGGUCUCAGGGCACUCAGGGAGGGCUCUGGGUUAAUUUGGGUCUGGGGUCUCAGGGCACUCGGGGAGGGCUCUGAGGUUAAUUUGGGUCUGGGGUCCCCCCCCCCCCCCCCCCCCCCCCCCCCCCCCCCCCCCCCCCCCCCCCCCCCCCCCCCCCCCCCCCCC
rnacentral:lncRNA from 12 species